rnacentral:rRNA from 1 species
GACGUAGGGCGCGAGCGUUGUCCGGAUUUAUUGGGCGUAAAGAGCUCGUAGGCGGCUUGUCGCGUCGACUGUGAAAUCCCGCGGCUCAACCGCGGGUCUGCAGUCGAUACGGGCAGGCUAGAGUUCGGUAGGGGAGACUGGAAUUCCUGGUGUAGCGGUGAAAUGCGCAGAUAUCAGGAGGAACACCGGUGGCGAAGGCGGUUCUCUGGGCAUUACCUGACGCUGAGGAGCGAAAGUGUGGGGAGCGAACAGG